rnacentral:rRNA from 1 species
CGCGAAUUCGCCCUUCGGGGUGCAGCAGGCGCGAAAACUCUACAAUGCAGGCAACUGCGAUAGGGGGACAUCGAGUGGCAUCCACCUUGGGUGCCUGUCCCACCGUCUAAAAAACGGUGGUUAGCAAGGGCCGGGCAAGACCGGUGCCAGCCGCCGCGGUAAUACCGGCGGCUCGAGUGGUGGCCGAUAUUAUUGAGUCUAAAGGGUCCGUAGCCGGCUUUGCAAGUCCCCUGGGAAAUCCAGCGGCUUAACCGUUGGGCUUUCAUGGGAUACUACAUUGCUUGGGACUGGGAGAGGUAGGAGGUACUCGGGGGGUAGGGGUGAAAUCCUGUAAUCCCCCGGGGACCACCGGUGGCGAAGGCGUCCUACCAGAACAGGUCCGACGGUGAGGGACGAAAGCUAGGGGCACGAACCGGAUUAGAUACCCGGGUAGUCCUAGCCGUAAACGAUGCCCGCUAGGUGUCACGGCGGUCGUGAAUCGCCGUGGUGCCGUAGGGAAGCCGCGAAGCGGGCCACUUGGGAAGUACGGCCGCAAGGCUGAAACUUAAAGGAAUUGGCGGGGGAGCAC